rnacentral:lncRNA from 1 species
GUAUUGUUUCUGGUAUAUCUGCCGGAGUGAUGUUGCAAAUUAAAUGACGUUAUUUUCUUUCUCUCUUUUUCUCUGAAUUUUGUUUCCGUACAGGACACAAUCAAGCAAUGAAAGAUGGGAAAAGAGAGUCAAUAUUCAUUGACGGUGGGCACGGCGUAUCCGUCCAGCUCCCUGCCUGCACUCGGGAUCCUGGCGCAGCCUGUGUGGACGCCGGCCGGCCGGCCAGCGCUCUGAUCUGCCGUUAGCUGUGGUAACGAGUUAUGACUGUGACCUUCCUGACUGAAGUAAUGGUCUCUGCAAACGCAUAUGCACUUUGGAGCAGGAAAGGUGACAGCCAUAAAGAAAAUGAAAAGAAGUUGAAAGAAAAUGCCCUUUCCUCUGAAAAGAAAGCAGAAGAGUCUAGGCACCCAAAAGCCCUCCUGUUGAAAAUCAGAGUCUUUUAGAGAAGCUUACGUUAACUGGAGAGAGCAGCAAUGGCCUGUUCCCACGGGAGGCUUGCAGCGCCCGGGCUAACUCCCCGUGCUGUCACGGGCUCCUCUCCUGACCCAAGGCAAGUCGCCGAAGUCGCUGUUCGUGUAGACGUCUAAGCUUGUGUGCUCUGAGGGCCCAAGUCCCUCCGAUACCUGAGCUAUCCGUGCUCCCACCUCUGCUCCAGUUACCCGCCUGUGAAAUGGGUGUAAGCGCAGCGUUUGCCUGAGGUGCUGUGAGGACGGCGUGGGGAAGGCGGUGAGGUGCCCAUACGCGUGUCCUAA